rnacentral:rRNA from 1 species
AACGAACGCUGGCGGCAUGCCUAACACAUGCCAGUCGAACGAGACCUUCGGGUCUAGUGGCGCACGGGUGCGUAACGCGUGGGAACCUGCCCUUAGGUUCGGAAUAACUCCCCGAAAGGGGUGCUAAUACCGGAUAAUGUCUUCGGACCAAAGAUUUAUCGCCUUUGGAUGGGCCCGCGUUGGAUUAGCUAGUUGGUAGGGUAAAAGCCUACCAAGGCGACGAUCCAUAGCUGGUCUGAGAGGAUGAUCAGCCACACUGGGACUGAGACACGGCCCAGACUCCUACGGGAGGCAGCAGUAGGGAAUAUUGGACAAUGGGCGAAAGCCUGAUCCAGCAAUGCGGCGUGAGUGAUGAAGGCCUUAGGGUUGUAAAGCUCUUUUACCCGGGAUGAUAAUGACAGUACCGGGAGAAUAAGCUCCGGCUAACUCCGUG